AUACAGAGGGUGCGAGCGUUAAUCGGAAUUACUGGGCGUAAAGCGCGCGUAGGCGGCUGAUUAAGUCAGAUGUGAAAUCCCAGGGCUCAACCUGGGAACUGCAUCUGAUACUGGGUAGCUAGAGUUUAGGAGAGGGAAGUAGAAUUUCAGGUGUAGCGGUGAAAUGCAUAGAGAUCUGAAGGAAUACCAGUGGCGAAGGCGGCUUCCUGGCCUAAAACUGACGCUGAGGUGCGAAAGCGUGGGUAGCAAACGGGAUUAGAAACCCCAGUAGUCC
rnacentral:rRNA from 1 species